AAUCAACGCUGGCGGCGUGCCCCAGACAUGCAAGUCGAACGAUCAAGACUUCCUUCGGGAAGUGUAUAAAGUGGCGCACGGGUGAGUAACACGUAAGUAAUCUACCUUCGAGUGGGGAAUAACAUCGGGAAACCGAUGCUAAUACCGCAUAAUGCAGCGGCAUCGCAAGAUGACAGUUGUUAAAGGAGCAAUUCGCUUGAAGAGGAGCUUGCGGCAGAUUAGCUAGUUGGUAAGGUAAUGGCUUACCAAGGCUACGAUCUGUAUCCGGUCUAAGAGGACGGUCGGACACACUGACACUGAAUAACGGGUCAGACUCCUACGGGAGGCAGCAGUCGGGAAUUUUGGGCAAUGGGCGAAAGCCUGACCCAGCAACGCCGCGUGAGGGAUGAAGUAUUUCGGUAUGUAAACCUCGAAAGAAUGGGAAGAAUAAAUGACGGUACCAUUUAUAAGCUCCGGCUAACUACGUGCCAGCCGCCGCCGUAACAC
rnacentral:rRNA from 1 species